CGGAGGUUUCGGACACGGUGGGUUCGGACGUGGAGGAUUCGGACAUGGCGGAUUCGGAGGCUUUGGACAUGGUGGAUUCGGAGGUUUCGGACACGCCGGAUAUGGUCGCUGAAGUUGAGCAAUAUCUUUAAAUACUGUAUUUUGAAAAUGGCAAGGAAUAAAUAAAUCAAGUAAAAAACA